GGCGCGCGCAAGGGGGACGCCGUCGCCGUCAAGCUCAUCCCCAAGGCCAAGGUUUGAAGGCGCCUGACAAGCCCAUCGUCGCGCCGCCGACCUGCUGAAAUUCGAGGUCGGCACCCGUGCGAACUCAGAAAUGUACAAAGGACUGACAUGUGUCAUCUAUAGCAUGUCCCCUUUGUCUGAAUGUUCAAGUAGAAGAGUUUCAUCUCAUUUGGCAAGGAGCACUGCAAUAAUACAUGCAACUCUUCACAGCUACUAACAUGAAGUUGCACUCAGGCUCUCGCAUGGACUAAAGAGUUAUUGUCGUUGUCCCAUGACAUGGAUCACUUGUUCCUCGAACUUCCCUGGCUGAAGGAGCAACUGGAGAAGUACAUUGACGAGGCCUCGGCGACUGGAUCAUGGAGCCCAAACGCGCUUCGCACCACCCCGGAUGCUUGAUUGAAAGAAGGGUUGGAGCCUCGCUGCAUCACCAGGGAUUUGACAUGGGACGUCCCUGUCCCACACGAGAAGUACAAGGAUAAGAGUUCGGAUGUUCCGAUGAUGUGCAUCGUGUGCUUCCAAGGCAACAGAAGGUUGUACACAUAUCAACGUCUAUGGGUGAAGAUAUCCUACCAUAUCUAGAACCUGUUUGAUAUGCAGAUUAGUCAAGCUUUUGUAGAGCAGUCCUCAUAAGUUGCAAGAUACAUGCAUGGUUCGUAUGGUUCAUUACUCAUAACUAAUCUAUAUGUCAAAACUUGGACAACUAUUUAGCCCUUGAAUUAUCUUAUAAAUUGACAAUGAUGAUGUUUUC